rnacentral:tRNA from 1 species
UCCACUAUUUAAUUGGUAGAGUACAAAGCUCUUAACCUUGUGGACGUGGGUUCAAGCCCCAUGGUGGAG